GGUUCUAUGGAAUAAUGGUUAUUUCGGUAGACUGUCAAUCUACAAAUCGGGGUUCAAUUCCCCGUAGGACCG
rnacentral:tRNA from 1 species